rnacentral:lncRNA from 1 species
UCCAGGCAAAAUUGCUGUCUUUCCUUCCCCAGGACAUCUGAACCAGGUCUAGUUGAAGCAAAGUUGGUUGACAACUCAUGCCUCUUGUCCUGGCCUGUUCCUCCAGUCUCUACAGCUGUCACUGAAGUUCAAUCUCCAUUAACAAGUUGUGUUUGUGCUCCCAUGCUCCUGUAUUUAUAAUCAUCUGGCAGAGGCAUAAUAGAUCAGAGGUUAAGAAGCACAGCCUUUGGCAUUAGAAAAACCAAGAUUCAAGGUUCAAUCCUGCUACAUAAAAGCUGUGUAACUUCAGAGUCAUAGGUCGAGAACUUAAAGAAUACCUCACCAUAUCUCUUCACAUAUCCAUGAAGAAACUGAGGUGCAAAGAAGUUAAGUGAUAAACCUGAAGCCACACAGCCAGUUAAAGUUAAGACUUCUAAUAAAAUCCCAAUGGUUAACUUCAGGACCAUAACCAAAGGUAUCCUAGUUGCUACGGGGGGCAACCUUCCACAGGCUACAAUUGCUAUUAAUCCAGACCCAUGUGCACAGCUUCCUUGUGAUUCCCUACACCUUUUUAUGAGAACGUAAUCUCAACUGCCGGAAGUUGCCCUGUUGACCCUGAAAAGGCUGCCAAGUGGGUGUCCCGGAAGCCUACUGAGUACAAGUUUAAUAUUUUCUGUUAAGCAACUCACAGCAUUUAAGCCGCAGUUGUGGAAAUUCUCAAGAAAGCUCAUUCUGUAUGAAUCAAAUUUCUGAAGCGAUUCUCUUCCAGGGAACUGCAAUCAAUCCUGUCCGGACUUCACUUUACAUAGCUCAUUUUUUGAGCCUUCAUCAUACACAACAUUCACUGCAAAAGAUCCAAGGGAGCCACACUUUCUGAAGGAUGCUAUUGUUGCUCA